rnacentral:rRNA from 1 species
AUAGACUGGAUAGGAAACAGAAAGGCAUCUUUUUGUUUUUAAAAGACCUUCUUCGGAGGGUAUGCUUAAAGAGGGGCUUGCGCCACAUUAGUUAGUUGGUGAGGUAAAGGCUUACCAAGAUUAUGAUGUGUAGCUGGACUGAGAGGUUGAACAGCCACAUUGGGACUGAGACACGGCCCAAACUCCUACGGGAGGCAGCAGUAGGGAAUUUUCGGCAAUGGAGGAAACUCUGACCGAGCGACGCCGCGUGAACGAUGAAGUAUUUCGGUAUGUAAAGUUCUUUUAUUGAAGAAGAAAAAAUAGUGGAAAAACUAUCUUGACGUUAUUCAAUGAAUAAGCCCCGGCUAACUAUGUGCCAGCAGCCGCGGUAAGACAUAGGGGGCGAGCGUUAUCCGGAAUUAUUGGGCGUAAAGGGUGCGUAGGCGGUUAGAUAAGUCUAUAAUUUAAUUUCAGUGCUUAACGCUGUCUUGUUAUAGAAACUGUCUUGACUAGAGUGAGAUAGAGGCAAGCGGAAUUCCAUGUGUAGCGGUAAAAUGUGUAAAUAUAUGGAGGAACACCAGAAGCGUAGGCGGCUUGCUGGGUCUUUACUGACGCUGAGGCACGAAAGCGUGGGGAGCAAACAGGAUUAGAUACCCUGGGUAGUCCACGCUGUAAACGAUGAGUACUAAGUGUCGGGGUAACUCGGGUACUGAAGUUAACACAUUAAGUACUCCGCCUGAGUAGUACGUACGCAAGUAUGAAACUUAAAGGAAUUGACGGGACUCCGCACAAGCGUGGAUCAUGUUGUUUAAUUCGAAGAUACACGAAAAACCUUACCAGGUCUUGACAUACUCUGGCAAAGCUU